rfam:Trichosporon oleaginosus strain IBC0246 unplaced genomic scaffold CC85scaffold_18, whole genome shotgun sequence.
ACGGUGAUCGUCUAGUGGUUUAGGAUUCACCCUUCCCAUUCCUAGGUGGUCAGGGUGUGACACGGGUUCGAACCCCGUUCGCCGUA